UACGAAGGGGGCUAGCGUUGCUCGGAAUCACUGGGCGUAAAGCGCACGUAGGCGGCUUUUUAAGUCAGGGGUGAAAUCCUGGAGCUCAACUCCAGAACUGCCUUUGAUACUGAGAAGCUUGAGUCCGGGAGAGGUGAGUGGAACUGCGAGUGUAGAGGUGAAAUUCGUAGAUAUUCGGAAGAACACCAGUGGCGAAGGCGGCUCACUGGCCCGAUACUGACGCUGAGGUGCGAAAGCGUGGGGAGCAAACAGG
rnacentral:rRNA from 1 species